CCCAGCCUCCCAGCUCCGCCCCGGGGCCGCCAUCCUCUGGGCCUCCACCCACCAGGCUGGGCACCUCUCGGAGCGCCUCCCCCCACUCCCGCCCCUCGGGAGCAGAAAGCCUGCCCGGAGUAAUCGGGGCACCCGAGCCCCGGGGCCGUGCCGGGCAGCCGACGGACCUGGGGGCGGGAUGCUCCGUUCUGCGGUAACUGCGGAGGCAGAUUGGAGCGGACCCGCGCUCUCCCGGUUGGAAUCUCCUCGAAAGAAAUAAAGAUCAGACUUCAACUGAAAGAGACUACUGCAGAGCUAAACCUUUUUAUGGAAGAAACAACACAAAUUCAUGAGUGAUGGGCCUUGUGACUCCAGUUGGAGAGAAUGUAAAUCAGAGAAUCCAUGUUGAGGAGGAACCUUAUGAAUAUAGUCAAGAAAAACCAGGACCAAACCAGUGGAUAGAUCACUUGUUCCCUGACCAUUGCCCUGCCCUGAUCCCUUAAGAUGUAGACACAUGGGAGUAUUUCUUAACAGGUCAUCUCAG